rnacentral:rRNA from 1 species
GAUGAACGCUGGCGGCGUGCCUAAUACAUGCAAGUCGAGCGAACAGAUGAGGAGCUUGCUCCUCUGCCGUUAGCGGCGGAAGGGUGAGUAACACGUGGAUAACCUACCUAUCAGACUGGGAUAACUUCGGCAAACCGGAGCUAAUACCGGAUCAUAUAUUGCACCACAUAGUUCAAUAGUGAAAGCCGGUUUUGCUGUCACUUAUAGAUGGAUCCGCGCCGCAUUAGCUAGUUGGUAAGGUAACGGGUUACCAAGGCAACGAUGCGUAUCCGACCUGAGAGGGUGAUCGGCCACACUGGAACUGAGACACGGUCCAGACUCCUACGGGAGGCAGCAGUAGGGAAUCUUGCGCAAUGGGCGAAAGCAUGACGGAGCAACGCCGCGUGAGUGAUGAAGGUCUUCGGAUCGUAAAACGCUGUUAUUAGGGAAGAACAAAUGUGGAAGGAACUAUGCAGGGCUUGACGGUACCCAAUCAGAAAGCCACGGCUAACUACGUG